GCCAUGCGUCAAGAAAAGCCGCUAUUGUUUGUAUCGCGCCCGUACCGUAAACCGCCACAGGUGGAUGAGGAGAGAAUCCUAAGGCCGACGGGAGAAGCAUUGUUAAGGAACUCGGCAAAAUGACUCCGUAACUUCGGGAGAAGGAGUGCCACUGAGAGGUGGCCGCAGAGAAUUGGCCCAAGCAACUGUUUAGCAAAAACACAGGUCUAUGCAAAACCGAAAGGUGAAGUAUAUGGGCUGACGCCUGCCCGGUGCUGGAAGGUUAAGGGGAGAGGUUAGCGGAAACGCGAAGCUUUGAACUUAAGCCCCAGUAAACGGCGGCCGUAACUAUAACGGUCCUAAGGUAGCGAAAUUCCUUGUCGGGUAAGUUCCGACCCGCACGAAAGGCGUAAUGAUUUGGGCACUGUCUCAACAAUGCACCCGGUGAAAUUGAAAUACCAGUGAAGAUGCUGGUUACCUGCGCCAGGACGGAAAGACCCCAUGGAGCUUUACUCCAGCUUGAUACUGGGAUUCGGUAUUGCAUGUACAGGAUAGGUGGGAGGCUUUGAAGCGGUAACGCCAGUUGCCGUGGAGCUGUUGUUGGGAUACCACCCUUGCAGUACUGGGUUUCUAACCAGCGGCCUUUAUCAGGUCGGGGGACAAUGUCAGGUGGGGAGUUUGACUGGGGCGGUCGCCUCCGAAAGGGUAUCGGAGGCGCUCAAAGGUUCCCUCAGAAUGGUCGGAAACCAUUCGAAGAGUGCAAAGGCAGAAGGGAGCUUGACUGCGACACCGACGGGUGGAGCAGGUACGAAAGUAGGACUUAGUGAUCCGGUGGUAUAAAGUGGGAUUGCCAUCGCUCAACGGAUAAAAGCUACCCUGGGGAUAACAGGCUUAUCACUCCCAAGAGUUCACAUCGACGGAGUGGUUUGGCACCUCGAUGUCGGCUCAUCGCAUCCUGGGGCUGAAGUAGGUCCCAAGGGUUGGGCUGUUCGCCCAUUAAAGCGGUACGCGAGCUGGGUUCAGAACGUCGUGAGACAGU
rnacentral:rRNA from 1 species